rnacentral:sRNA from 1 species
CAAUGUUAGGCCAAGUGUGAUGUCGUGUUUGUGUGUGUGUCUGUUGCCAACAUUAGGCCAAGUGUGAUGUCAUGUUUGUGUGUGUGUUGCCGUUAGGCUGAGUGCGAUGUCAUGUUUGUGUGUGUGUUUGUUGCCAACGUUAGGCCAAGUGCGAUGUCGUGUUUGUGUGUGUAUCUGUUGCCACCAUUAGGCCAAGUGCGAUGUCGGAGAGGCAGUGUUGGGUGUUUCUGCCACAUGUUGUGGCGCGGAGGGCCCCAGCUUCCCAGCGUCCCGUGAGGGGCUCCACAUGAUGUCUGAGCUGCCCUUUCUUUUAUUUUGCUGCCAUUAAUGUGUCUCUUUCUCUUUUUUUGUUCUUUGACCUAGGGAAGAUUUAGGAUUCAGAUUUAUAUCGGAACAGGUCAGUCACCACCCCCCCAUCAGUGCGUUCCACUCGGAAGGCCUCAACCAUGACUUCCUGUUCCACGGCUCCAUCUACCCCAAGCUCAAGUUCUGGGGCAAAAGCGUGGAGGCGGAGCCCCGAGGCACCAUCACCCUGGAGCUGCUCAAACAUAACGAAGCCUACACCUGGACCAACCCCACCUGCUGCGUCCACAACGUCAUCAUCGGGAAGCUGUGGAUAGAGCAGUAUGGGACAGUGGAGAUUUUAAACCACAGGUGACAGCACCCCACUGUUGGGUGAGAGUGCGAGGCUCCGGGUGGGGAUGGGCGCGCCGGGGAGCGUGGGCAUCCGUGCUCCUGGUGGGUUUCAGCUCAGCCUCACGAGCUGCUGCCUUGUCCCCGCCAGCCCAGGCAUAGCAGCUGCCUGGACUUGACUCUGACCGGUGUUGGCCAUGGGUGCUUCUUGUUCAGGACCUCGUUUUUAGUCACGGUCGUUACUUUAGCGCUUUGAGCUAUGCCAAAGAGCCGUGUCAUUGCCGGGUGCAGCGCAGUGGCUGUCCACAGCCGUUGGCCACUGUCUAGGCUCGAAUGCCCUAUUCCUGGAAGCUCAUGACUGGUGGGCUUUGCCUUUUCACCACUUUAGUGAGGUAUAAUCAAUGCAUCAUAAGAUUUGCCCAUUCUGAGUGGACACUUAAGUGAUUUUUAGUAAAUUGACCGAAUCAUGGAGCCGUCCCCACAGCCCGUGUCAAACACUUCCAUCGCCCCAAAGGCCCACCACACCCAUUUGCAGUCACCCUCCGCCUGCCCCAGGGGCCUCCGCCGUGCUUCUCCUGUUACGGAGUUGCCCUUUCCGGCUGUUGGCUGUCUUGCAGCAGAAACCUGUGUUUGUUUUUCUCACAGAACUGGACAUAAGUGUGUGCUUCACUUUAAACCGUGUGGAUUAUUUGGAAAAGAACUUCACAAGGUGGAAGGACACAUUCAAGACAAAAAGUAGGUCCUUACCAGGUGUUCACGGGGCACCACUACAGCCUGUGUGUCCACGUUAGAGGGCUCAGGUGCUCCUGGGCCUGCAUGUGCCGAUGUGCAUGAGACGCGGGUACGCCAGUGCCAUCUGUUCAUGGUCCAGAAGUAUGAGUCUUUUUUGUUUUGGAAAGACAUUUUGUUAUUGAGCAUAAAAGGAAAUAAAGGGUAUUUUUGAAUGU